rnacentral:rRNA from 1 species
GACGAACGCUGGCGGCAUGCCUAAUACAUGCAAGUAGAACGCUGAAGAGAGGAGCUUGCUCUUCUUGGAUGAGUUGCGAACGGGUGAGUAACGCGUAGGUAACCUGCCUUGUAGCGGGGGAUAACUAUCGGAAACGAUAGCUAAUACCGCAUAACAAUGGAUGACACAUGUCAUUUAUUUGAAAGGGGCAAUUGCUCCACUACAAGAUGGACCUGCGUUGUAUUAGCUAGUAGGUGAGGUAACGGCUCACCUAGGCGACGAUACAUAGCCGACCUGAGAGGGUGAUCGGCCACACUGGGACUGAGACACGGCCCAGACUCCUACGGGAGGCAGCAGUAGGGAAUCUUCGGCAAUGGGGGCAACCCUGACCGAGCAACGCCGCGUGAGUGAAGAAGGUUUUCGGAUCGUAAAGCUCUGUUGUAAGUCAAGAACGAGUGUGAGAGUGGAAAGUUCACACUGUGACGGUAGCUUACCAGAAAGGGACGGCUAACUACGUGCCAGCAGCCGCGGUAAUACGUAGGUCCCGAGCGUUGUCCGGAUUUAUUGGGCGUAAAGCGAGCGCAGGCGGUUUGAUAAGUCUGAAGUUAAAGGCUGUGGCUCAACCAUAGUUCGCUUUGGAAACUGUCAAACUUGAGUGCAGAAGGGGAGAGUGGAAUUCCAUGUGUAGCGGUGAAAUGCGUAGAUAUAUGGAGGAACACCGGUGGCGAAAGCGGCUCUCUGGUCUGUAACUGACGCUGAGGCUCGAAAGCGUGGGGAGCGAACAGGAUUAGAUACCCUGGUAGUCCACGCCGUAAACGAUGAGUGCUAGGUGUUGGAUCCUUUCCGGGAUUCAGUGCCGCAGCUAACGCAUUAAGCACUCCGCCUGGGGAGUACGACCGCAAGGUUGAAACUCAAAGGAAUUGACGGGGGCCCGCACAAGCGGUGGAGCAUGUGGUUUAAUUCGAAGCAACGCGAAGAACCUUACCAGGUCUUGACAUCCCGAUGCUAUUUCUAGAGAUAGAAAGUUACUUCGGUACAUCGGUGACAGGUGGUGCAUGGUUGUCGUCAGCUCGUGUCGUGAGAUGUUGGGUUAAGUCCCGCAACGAGCGCAACCCCUAUUGUUAGUUGCCAUCAUUCAGUUGGGCACUCUAGCGAGACUGCCGGUAAUAAACCGGAGGAAGGUGGGGAUGACGUCAAAUCAUCAUGCCCCUUAUGACCUGGGCUACACACGUGCUACAAUGGUUGGUACAACGAGUUGCGAGUCGGUGACGGCAAGCUAAUCUCUUAAAGCCAAUCUCAGUUCGGAUUGUAGGCUGCAACUCGCCUACAUGAAGUCGGAAUCGCUAGUAAUCGCGGAUCAGCACGCCGCGGUGAAUACGUUCCCGGGCCU